rnacentral:tRNA from 1 species
GCUCUUAUGGUGUAAUGGUUAGCACUCUGGACUUUGAAUCCAGCGAUCCGGGCUCAAAUCCCGGGUGGAGCU